rnacentral:lncRNA from 1 species
GGUGGGGACCCGCUUAAGCAUUGUUGUUCCUUACAGGCUGGGAGUUGCCAGCCAGAAACUGAGUUUCUGGUGUGCCUUUGAAUGCCAGGAGGCAGGGUGCUCUGAAAAAGCAGCAGCCGGCAAGGAAACCGCUGGAGGUGGGGAGCUCCGGGCUGGUGUGGUUCUCGGCGUCUGACAAUGUAACUGAUGGCCCCCUGUCACUUCCUGUCGUACAGCCCAAGUAGUGGGGAGGAGUUCCUUGAGGGAAAGCAUGCUCUGCUCUGCUCAGAGAAUCCCGUCCGAAGGGCGCCGCCGCAGUUAGGGGCGGGGGACUCUGUGUGGAUGAGGUCGGAGCGCCCCAUGGUGUGGUGCUGCUUCUUUGUUCGCACUCAGGCACCAGGAAAUCAGGCUCUGCUCGGGGUCAGCGAUGCCUCUGGUUCCUGCCUGCAGCCACCCAGGUGGGACGUCUACUGACUUGUUUCAGUUUGUUCGUCAUCAAGAUCAUUGCUGCCCUUUCUCAAUUUGCUGCCCACCCUAUUGCAUGAAGCAAGGAAGGUUAAGGAGGAGAAAAGAGAUUCCAGUGAGUCUCUUUUUCUUUAUAAGCAAUAGUAACUGCACUUAUUUC